GACAGAGGUGCCGAGCGUUAGGCGGAAUCACUGGGCUUAAAGCGUGUGUAGGCGGGUCGUUAAGUGCCUUGUGAAAUCCCACCGCUCACCGGUGGAACUGCUUGGCAUACUGGCGAUCUUGAGCCACUUAGGGGCAACCGGAACAAACGGUGGAGCGGUGAAAUGCGUAGAUAUCAGGAGGAACACCGGUGGCGAAGGCGGGUCUCUGGGCCGAUACUGACGCUGAGGAGCGAAAGCGUGGGGAGCGAACAGG
rnacentral:rRNA from 1 species